GACAAGGGUCCUCUCAUUAAAGAGAUCAACGAGGCAAUGGCCAGGCUUUCCAUAAGUGGACAGACUGAGCUAACAUCGAGGUCCUCCUAGCUAUUAAUGGGUAUUAAUGGGGAGUCCACCGAAAUCAAGAAGGCCAAAGGUACCGGUCGCUCCAGGGCCAUUGAAGGGGAAUCUGUCCAGCAGAGUUUGCCACGGAGGAUUCCACCUGAGGCCCAAGACAAAACCAAUACCCGUGUGAGGACUCCUAGUUCAACCAAAUGCUUUAAGAGCACUACUGGAGAGUCCCGCAGAGUUAAGCAAAACCCUGAGAGAAGGCUUGGAGGCCAAUCCAAAACCUUCCUAUAAAAGGAGAUGGGAGGAUCUUCGUAUCAGAAGGACAGAGAGCCUCGGUUCAGAGAGGAAGAUGAGAAGAGUGGACACAAUGGCAAUAAAGAAGUCUUCCUGGGUGAGUAUUUGUUGCGCCAGAGCUUUUCAAGGAAAAUAUGUGAGUGGUUUUCAUUCCAGGGCCAUUAAAG